GAUGAACGCUAGCUACAGGCUUAACACAUGCAAGUCGAGGGGCAGCACAGUGUAGCAAUACAUGGGUGGCGACCGGCGCACGGGUGCGUAACGCGUAUCCAACCUUCCCGUUACUCUUGGAUAGCCUUCCGAAAGGGAGAUUAAUACAAGAUGGUAUUCAAAUUCCGCAUGUUAUUUGAAUUAAAGAUUUAUCGGUAACGGAUGGGGAUGCGUGACAUUAGGUAGAUGGCGGGGUAACGGCCCACCAUGCCUACGAUGGAUAGGGGUUCUGAGAGGAAGGUCCCCCACACUGGAACUGAGACACGGUCCAGACUCCUACGGGAGGCAGCAGUGAGGAAUAUUGGUCAAUGGCCGCAAGGCUGAACCAGCCAAGUAGCGUGAGGGAUGACAGCCCUACGGGUUGUAAACCUCUUUUGUCCGGGAAUAAAACGGGGGGACNCGUCCCCCCUUGCAUGUACCGGUUGAAUAAGGCCGGCUAAUCCGUG
rnacentral:rRNA from 1 species